GGGGCAUUCUAUCCUGUGGACACAACCUGUGGAAGGCUAGGCAGGGAGUCAGGAAAGGCUGGAGUCACCAUGGUAGGGCUGGGAAGCUCUGGUUCCCAAAGUGGGUUUGUACCCAUCCUCUCAUAGUACCCUUUAGGAUUUUAUUAGGAACAUUUGUCUUUAUAAGAAAACUGAGGCACGAUAAUCUGUCUGGCUAUGGUGAUAGAAGUCUGGGUACUCUUCCUCCAUAUCAAGGUCACUUAUUGGUAUCUCCUCCAGUCCCAGAAGGAGGAGUUGAGGCCGACAUUGGACAAACAAAGCCUUAAUUUAAAAGCAGGGACUGCAACCUGGAACAAGGAGAGACAAAGGGAAGGAGGAGUCUGGAGCCAUAUUGAAGAUGAAAUUGAGAUAUGGACUAGGUGGUGGAUCGUUUUUAUAAGAGGACAUAAAAGAGGAUGCUAAAGCUAAUUGCCACAAUCAGAACUCAAAGACCUAGCAAAUGCAAGGUGGUAUUUAUUCUAAACUCAGCAAAGUAGUAGAAAAAUAGUUUUGAGAACAGUUUUAAGGAGACUAGGGUAACAGUGAGAAAAUAGUUCAUGGCUAGUCUGGACUUAGGACUUUAGGGUCGGCCUGGUGAAUUGAAGGGAAGCAGCUGAUACACUCUGGUUGCCUUGUACCCUGGCUUUUGGUGCUUUCCCAUGUGCUGUAGUCAUCAGUAAUCUGGAGGAAAUGCUAUAGAGGCAAAGACACCAUUAGAUGGGUGCUCAACUAGCAAACAGGAUGUGACCACAGAGUAGUUACCCCAAGACCAGGUCAGCAUGACCCAAAAGGCAGAAGAGGACAAGGUUUAUGAGUGUUGGGCUGAGCUCACGCCUGCUUGAACAUCUCAAGAACAAUGUUAAUGAUGGAAGAGAGAGAUAGGAGAGGAAACUCAUUAAACUUGCCAAAUAUGAGAUGUAGCUGGGUUGGCUCUAUGUAAGCAUGGCAGAAAAGCAUUUAGAAGUCAUAAUACAUUUAAAAUAAGAGCUACCAGCAUAGCAGUGACAUGAAGAAGGCAUGUGUUUUGUUAAAAAGUUUUAAAUACUCCUAUAAAAGAUAGUAAGGUACAAGUUGUUUGCUUGAUCAGCAAUGCUAAUUGCCUUUGAAGUGCAUGCCUGGGGAUUCCAUGGAGAGAGGACCCUGUUUCUCCACCCCAACCCAAAUUCACUGAGUUUAUGUCAGAAUGUUCAGAAGCCCCUUUACAAAUUCCUCUGAUUGCCUUGUUAGACACUGGCCACCUCCCUGAACCUGGGCCAAGAUGAGGGUCUACACCUUGGCUUAGUUCUACUAUGAAAGACUUUCCUGCAGUAAAAGUUACCUGUCUGAAACAUUCAGAAGAGUGAAAAUGCCACAUCUCCAAUUUCCAGCAAUAUAUUUGUCUGCCAUGAUUUGGCCUGGAAGCUUAAGCAGGAAGACCACUUGGAGCCAGACUUCAGAGUGAUCUGUCUCUAAGGAAUAACUUUCAUAUUGCAGCGUUCGGUUUUGCAAUUCUUCCUAAGCUACUCUAAAUUCGCAGCAUAAAUCUGCAGAAAGACUUCACCCUCCACAUCAAACCCUUAUAAGGAUCCAUUUCUGCUCUCAUUUUAGAAUAUCUUUUCUAAUAGCUAAAGGCAGACAGAGGCAAACCAAGAAAUCCAGACUUUGCAUCAACGGGUUAAAUCAUAUGUCAAAGGUGCAACCAUAACGUAUUACAAGCUUCUCAUCACAUAAUACAUCACUCAAGAAAAAAUAUUUGGGCAGCUUUUCUAAUUCAUCUUCCUGGUGUUAAAGGAGCACAUCUCCAGUGUUCGUGUCUUCUGUUUCAAUUAAAGCAAUCAUGCCUACUCUUUUAGGAAACUA
ensembl:lncRNA novel transcript